AAUUGACCCAAGGCAUGUUGGGCCUUGUUUCUCACACGGUUCAAUUUUGUUGUCACUUACCGUCCAGGAUCCCAAAACGUCAAACCUGAUGCCUUGUCCCGAAUCCAUAGCCCUACUUGGGAGGACUCCACACCGGAGACCAUCAUGCCUCUGGUCCGAGUUGUGGGUGCGCUCCAGUGGGAGGUAGAGAAGAAGUUUCGCCAGCGCUACAAAGGAGGUACAGAUUCCUGAAGGCUGCCCUAAAGACAGACUAUUUGUUCAAGUGACUUUGAGUUCUGAGGUUCUGCAGUGGGGACAUGGGUCGAAGGUGACGAGUCACCCAGGGGCCGGCAGGACCAACUUCCUCCCGGAGGUUUUGGUGACCUGGUAUUGACAAUGACAGAGAAUUUGUCUCUGCCUGUCCUGUAUGUGCCUGUAGCAAUUCUUCUCAUCAUCAGCCAGCGGGGUUGGUUAGGCCGCUUCCCGUCACUACCCGCCCAUGAUCUCAUAUUGCUAUGGACUGUCAUCCUCACCGUUGUGGACCAUUUCUCCAAGAUGGUCCACUUUGCCAACCUUCCAAAGCUUCCUUCUGCUAUAGAGACAGCUAAUCUUCUGGUCAAGGAUGUCUUUCACAUUUAUGUCAUUCUUUCCAACUUGGUUUCUGACAGGGGUCCACAGUUUAGGUCAAAGGUUUGGAGGGGUUUUUCCAGAGCUCUUCGAGCCGGUCAGCCGGUUUCCAUCCACAGUCCAAUGGCCAGACGGAAUGGACUAACCAGGACUCUCCGCUGCGUCUACCACCAGGGUCCCUCCUCCUGGUCCUCCCGCAACUCCCCCAUCAUCUCGUCCACGGACUGCCAUUCGUAAUCUGCGGAUUGCUGAUCGUCACAGGAUUCCUGCCCCAAACUACCGUCGGGGUCAAGAGGCCCAUCUAGUGUUUCAUGUCUACCCCAGCUCACUGUGUCCUCCGUCGGUGCCUCCUCCUCCGCGUGUGAUCGAUGGUCAGCCAGCAUACACAGUGAAGUUGAUUUUUGGACUCCAGAAGCAGAGGCAGGGUUUUUCGGUACCUGGUCGACUGAGAGGGUUAUAGACCUGAGGAGCGUUUUUGGAUCCUGGAUCUGUCUAUAGUUCGUGACUUCAACUCACUCGAUUUGUCCAGACAGGGUAAGCUGCCAGGGGGCAUCCAUUGACGUGGGGGUACUGUCAUGUUCUGGUGAUCCUGCAAGUUUCUGUGUUUGGGUUUUUUUCAGUGGCUGCCAUGGAU